UGGUUCUGGCAUNGAUGAAGAACGCAGCGAAAUGCGAUAAGUAAUGUGAAUUGCAGAAUUCAGUGAAUCAUCGAAUCUUUGAACGCACAUUGCGCCCUCUGGUAUUCCGGGGGGCAUGCCUGUUCGAGCGUCAUUACACCUCUCAAGCCUCGCUUGGUAUUGGAGACAGUGGUUAAUCUAUUAGCUGCUUCUCUUGAAAUUUUCGGCCGAGUCUUCUGAUCUCACCGGCGUUGUGCAAACAAAUUCCGCCCAUCGAGUGAUUAAGAACUUCUGUCUGCCGUUAAGCACUUUUUAUCAAAGGUUGACCUCGGAUCAGGUAGGGAUACCCGCUGA
rnacentral:misc_RNA from 1 species